GCCGGCUGCAGAUCGGGACAGAACAGGCAGGUUUCAGAGACAUUUUGAACCCGGCGGCAUUUGUGAGAAAGUCUGAGGUCACGCCGGGUCGACUACAUCGGGUUUCAUCGUGUUUCAGCGUCAUGUUAGCACUCCAUGAAACUUUGGACCUCAGAAGCCUCACCGGAGGGCGGCUAGGGCGUUUAAGGAAGCAGUGAUACUGGCGGUCACCUGUCAGCAGGUGAUCAGACUGCGUUCAGGACCACAGAUACAGACGCUGCUUGCAGGCUGAGAGCUCCUCCGCGCCGCAUGGCGAGCAGCGCUCCGCACACAGGAGACGAGCCGGCCCUCAUGACCCAAACCCAUCUGAACCAGUCUGCUGCCAUUGGCUGUUCACUGGUCACCUGACAUUUCCAUCUGUCAAAGCGUUGAAGCAGCCCUAAAGCUGCUGGGGGGCGUGGCCUCAGGAAGCCAGGAGUUGGUGUGUAUGGUUGUGGGUCUGUUACAGACUGGAGAACCGUCAGCGGGAAACCUACGUUACCCAACACUGGCUGGGAUAGGCUCCAGCAUCUCCACUACCCCAUAAAGGAAUGAAGCUGAUUUAAUAAAUGGAUGGAAGGAUUGAUUAAGUUCUGUUGUUUACUUUAGAGUCCUGCAACUGUUACAGAAGUUAAUGUUAUUCCUUUAGCACUUGAAAGGAUUUUAUUUGAUCAUUAAAAUAUGUAGACUUUAUAACUCUAAGACAAAGAGUU